AAUGGCAUCUCCUGUAAAUUACUAGUACCGGUAAGAUCAAGAACAUGAAGUCUCACCAGAUUUUGGAUAACGGGUGGCAACUUGGUAAGUUCCUCGCACCCUUGCAAUUUCAAGGUUUGCAAGUUGAGAAGAAAACCCACAGAUUGAGGUAACUGUUUAAUUCUACUGCGAGACAAAUUCAGGUAGCGCAAUUGCUUGAAAUCACCAAUGGAAUGGGGUAGCUCAGUGAUGGAAUAACCACUCAAGGAUAGCACUCUUAAGCAUCUCAACCUACGCAGCAUAUUCUGCAAGACAUCA
rnacentral:lncRNA from 1 species